rnacentral:miRNA from 4 species
ACUUUAACAUGGAGGCACUUGC